rnacentral:lncRNA from 1 species
GGGGGAGGGGGAAGCCUGCUCCCGCUCCCCGGCCGAGCCGCCUUGUCCUGUCGCUGAGCCGGGAAAACGAGCAUCAAGAAACAGCUUCAAGGUCUCACACCUUCAAAAAUAAGUCUUUUAAGAAAUCCAGUAUCUGUGGAUUUUGCGAACAAGUCAUUGACAACCAAGGAAUUUCCUGCAGAGUAAAGCAUUCUCAG